rnacentral:rRNA from 1 species
UACGGAGGAUGCGAGCGUUAUCCGGAUUUAUUGGGUUUAAAGGGUGCGCAGGCGGUCUGUUAAGUCAGCGGUGAAAUGUCCCGGCUCAACCGGGGCCCUGCCGUUGAUACUGGCGGACUCGAGUACGGACGGCGCCGGCGGAAUGUGUCAUGUAGCGGUGAAAUGCUUAGAUAUGCCACAGAACACCGAUCGCGAAGGCAGCUGGCGAGGCCGGUACUGACGCUCAGGCACGAAAGCGUGGGGAUCAAAC